CCUACGGGUGGCUGCAGUGGGGAAUAUUGGACAAUGGGCGAAAGCCUGAUCCAGCCAUGCCGCGUGUGUGAAGAAGGCCUUCGGGUUGUAAAGCACUUUCAGUGGGGAAGAAAGCCUUGGGGCUAAUACCCUCGAGGAAGGACAUCACCCACAGAAGAAGCACCGGCUAACUCCGUGCCAGCAGCCGCGGUAAUACGGAGGGUGCGAGCGUUAAUCGGAAUUACUGGGCGUAAAGCGCGCGUAGGCGGUCUGAUAAGCCGGUUGUGAAAGCCCCGGGCUCAACCUGGGAACGGCAUCCGGAACUGUCAGGCUAGAGUGCAGGAGAGGAAGGUAGAAUUCCCGGUGUAGCGGGGAAAUGCGUAGAGAUCGGGAGGAAUACCAGUGGCGAAGGCGGCCUUCUGGACUGACACUGACGCUGAGGUGCGAAAGCGUGGGUAGCAAACAGGAUUAGAUACCCCUGUAGUC
rnacentral:rRNA from 1 species